CACCGCGGUUAUACGAGAGGCCCCAGUUGAUGGAUACGGCGUAAAGGGUGGUUAAGGUAAGAUUAAAAUAAGGCUAAAGGAUUUCUUGGCUGUCAUACGCCCCUGAGACCCCGAAACCCAAACACGAAAGUAGCUUUAAUACAAGCCCACCUGACCCCACGAAAGCUGAGGAA
rnacentral:rRNA from 1 species